UACGUAGGGCGCAAGCGUUGUCCGGAAUUAUUGGGCGUAAAGAGCUCGUAGGUGGCGUGUCGCGUCUGCCGUGAAAGCCCAUGGCUUAACUGUGGGUCUGCGGUGGAUACGGGCAGGCUGGAGGCUGGUAGGGGCAAGCGGAAUUCCUGGUGUAGCGGUGAAAUGCGCAGAUAUCAGGAGGAACACCGGUGGCGAAGGCGGGUCUCUGGGCCGUAACUGACGCUGAGGCGCGAAAGCCAGGGGAGCAAACGGG
rnacentral:rRNA from 1 species